rnacentral:lncRNA from 1 species
CCCUACCCUAAACCCUAGCGACAUACUAAACGCCGCAUAGAACACGCUUGAAUUGGCCGAGGACGCACGAUCAAUUCCCUGCAUAAACGGUACUGGAGUCCACAUUCACUUGAUAUGGGAUCUCGUAAUUGCGUCGAAGCAAACCGAGGAGAGUUUCCAGGCGGACUUGUCAACUCCAGAGACCGAUCUAGACGCAAUGGAGCCGGCAACUAGGGUUCCGUGAAGCGACAUUGGUGGCGGACCACGAGUGGCAACGAGUCGCGACUGGCGUUUGCAGCGCCGUGGGGUUGCGAUGGGAGGGAGCGGGUGAGCUCGCUCGGCGGUGCUGUCGAUGUGGGUGUCCUGUGCAAGCAUUAUUGACACGGCUUGUUUGUCUCGCCUUGCUUUUAGGGAUCAUCGGCCACUGUGUUACGUGUGGAGGUUUCGAUCCGUCCCGGCGCAAGGUAUGCUUUGUCUCGCCGUAAGGUCGCAACUGCAGCGAUACUUUCUGUCGUGCGGCGAUGGUGGUGUGGACUGGCGAGGCUGCGGGACAUUGGUGGUGAGUAGUUGCAACAUGUCACAUGUGUAAAAGCGAAAUAAAAAACCCUAAUCAAACUUAGAUGUGUUCAAUUAGCAAAGAGUUGUUUCAUGAUUAUGUACACUUAAGUUUUUGUGGCAAAGAUGAGUUCGUCCAUGCCAAUGUAACCCUAAACGCUCUUUGUACAUACUGUCCAACAUUUCUUCCUGUAUGAAGGUCAUUAUUGUCGUAAGGUGUACAAUUAGUUUGGUAAUAUAAGUGUUUUCAAAGAGAAUUUUUUAGAAUGAAAAAAUGCUUGUUCAAGAUGGAUUGGAACUUAGGUCAGUGUUUUGUAAAUUUGGAAUCAUUUUUGGAUUCUGGCUUUCAUUAUUGUUUAAUAAUCCAGUUUAGCGAAUCUCUUGGAGGAACUUUUGGAUUCUUACGGAAGUUUCUUGGAAAAUUUUAGAAUCUUAUGAAAGGAUUAAUAGAUUAGUAAUGUAUUUUGGAAAGUAGUGCAAAUAUUCUUAGAUUUUUAAUGAGUUUAGCUUUCUUUGGUACAACACACAACAUCAUUUGCAUUUAAAAAUCACAUGUGAUUGAAGAGGUAGUUUACUGUAAAUUGGAAAUAUGGACCAUUUUCAACAAUAAAUUUUACAACAUAUUUUUAUUAACCCCUCUAUAAAGAUUUUUAAAAUUUUAAAUAUGUAUUGGAGAAAUCUUGACAAUUAUAAUGUAAUGUUAUUGCUAUUUAAUAGAUAUAUAUGUCCAUUCGUUUAACGAUUAUGCAUGUAAUUGUGUGGAAUUAAUAAAUUUAAUUUAACACUUAAAAAUUGGAUAGAUCUUUACAAUAUUGUUAAAGAAUUAUAUCUAUCUUAUUAUAUUUUACUUAAAUAUCUUCAAAAUUCUAAUUAUAAAUUUCAUAGUAUUGCUAUUCAAAUUUUAAAAUGUUUGCAUUCAAAAGAAUUUAUACAAAUAUAAUAAUCAUAAUUAGAUAGAAAUACAUAAAGUUAUUUUAUUAAUCACUUUGGUUACAAUAACAAUACUGUUUCAGAUUUUGGUUGAUAUAUUCACUAAUAUCAUUGAUAUGUGCAUGGUUUUUGUAAAAAUAUUGGCAUUAGUAUUAU